rnacentral:lncRNA from 1 species
GAAAGUGAUUUAUAUUUGAGUUUCUCAGUCAUUCAUUCCCUCAACCCCUGCAGCCAGUCUCAUCAGAAAGCUUUUUGUGAAGAAGAACAUGAUUUUGGAGGCCUUGCAGCCAUCUUGUGCCCAUGAGCCUGUAAAGCUGGAAGAUAGAACCUCGGACAGCAUGGAUUGGAUACGAAUUCAGACAGAGCUUAUCUCUAUGCUGUUCCCAACAAGAUUUCUUCUCCCGAUUAAAGUGAUCUCAAGUCAUAAGGAGCCAAGAACUACUUAGCCUCAAAUGAUUUUUCUUUAGAAGCAUAAAACUAAGGACCUCCUGACUUGGCACAUCAAGUUAUUUAACGAUAAUUAAAAACCCCAUAAUUUUGAUAUCUUCCUUGACUCACCCAUAAAUGGCCCAGGCUGUGCACUCUGAUAGCUGAUCUUUGAUGGGUUUAUUUCCCUGUCUACACGAGGGAAUAUUUUUCUUCUUCAAGUA